CCUACGGGAGGCAGCAGUGGGGGAUAUUGCACAAUGGGGGAAACCCUGAUGCAGCGACGCCGCGUGUGGGAAGACGGUCCUCUGGAUUGUAAACCACUGUCCCCAGGGACGAAGAUGACGGUACUUGGGGAGGAAGCCCCGGCUAACUACGUGCCAGCAGCCGCGGUAAUACGUAGGGAGCGAGCGUGGUCCGGAAUUACUGGGCGUAAAGGGAGCGUAGGUGGGGAUGGAAGUUGGGGGUCAAAACUACCGGCUCAACUGGUAGUCGCACUCAAAACUGCAGCUCUUGAGUGAAGUAGAGGCAAGCGGAAUUCCAAGUGUAGCGGUGAAAUGCGUAGAUAUUAGGAGGAACACCAGUGGCGAAGGCGGCCUGCUGGGCUUUUACUGACGCUGAGGCUCGAAAGUGUGGGGAGCAAACAGGAUUAGAUACCCUAGUAGUC
rnacentral:rRNA from 1 species